GAUGAACGCUGGCGGCGUGCCUAAUACAUGCAAGUCGAGCGAACGGACGAGAAGCUUGCUUCUCUGAUGUUAGCGGCGGACGGGUGAGUAACACGUGGAUAACCUACCUAUAAGACUGGGAUAACUUUGGGAAACCGGAGCUAAUACCGGAUAAUAUUUUGAACCGCAUGGUUCAAAAGUGAAAGACGGUCUUGCUGUCACUUAUAGAUGGAUCCGCGCUGCAUUAGCUAGUUGGUAAGGUAACGGCUUACCAAGGCAACGAUGCAUAGCCGACCUGAGAGGGUGAUCGGCCACACUGGAACUGAGACACGGUCCAGACUCCUACGGGAGGCAGCAGUAGGGAAUCUUCCGCAAUGGGCGAAAGCCUGACGGAGCAACGCCGCGUGAGUGAUGAAGGUCUUCGGAUCGUAAAACUCUGUUAUUAGGGAAGAACAUAUGUGUAAGUAACUGUGCACAUCUUGACGGUACCUAAGCAGAAAGCCACGGCUAACUACGU
rnacentral:rRNA from 1 species